rnacentral:rRNA from 1 species
CAACAGGGAUUGCCCUAGUAACGGCGAGUGAAGCGGCAACAGCUCAAAUUUGAAAUCUGGCCCUAGGCCCGAGUUGUAAUUUGUAGAGGAUGCUUUUGGCGCGGCGCCUUCUGAGUUCCCUGGAACGGGACGCCAUAGAGGGUGAGAGCCCCGUAUAGUUGGACGCCUAGCCUCUGUAAAGCUCCUUCGACGAGUCGAGUAGUUUGGGAAUGCUGCUCUAAAUGGGAGGUAAAUUUCUUCUAAAGCUAAAUACCGGCUGGAGACCGAUAGCGCACAAGUAGAGUGAUCGAAAGAUGAAAAGCACUUUGAAAAGAGGGUUAAACAGCACGUGAAAUUGUUGAAAGGGAAGCGCUUGUGACCAGACUUGCGCCUUGCCAAUCAUCCGGCGUUCUCGCCGGUGCACUUGGCUUGGUUCAGGCCAGCAUCGGUUUUCCCAGGGGGAUAAAAGCGCCGGGAACGUAGCUCCUUCGGGAGUGUUAUAGCCCGGUGCACAAUACCUCUGGGGGGACCGAGGAACGCGCUCCGCAAGGAUGCUGGCGUAAUGGUCAUCAGCGACCCGUCUUGAAACACGGACCAAGGAGUCAAGCAGUAGGGCGAGUGUUUGGGUGUCAAACCCGCACGCGUAAUGAAAGUGAAUGCUGGUGAGAGCUUCGGCGCAUCAUCGACCGAUCCUGAAGUAUUCGGAUGGAUUUGAGUAGGAGCCUUACCGCUUGGACCCGAAAGAUGGUGAACUAUGCUUGUAUAGGGUGAAGCCAGAGGAAACUCUGGUGGAGGCUCGCAGCGGUUCUGACGUGCAAAUCGAUCGUCAAAUAUGAGCAUGGGGCGAAAGACUAAUCGAAC